GCUCUCUUUCCACCCACCUUCUUCCUCUCUCUCUCUCUUCUUUCUUUUUUGUCGGAGCCUAAGAGCCGAUGAUUGUGACGCUUUAAUCUUUCACAAAUGAUGAGGUAAUGCAUGAGGUCACCUGCAUUCCCUCUAACGAAAUCUCAUGGAAGAAGGCACUCAAUUAAUCACUUUCAUGCGGUCAUUUUCAACCAACAUUAGUAACGAUGGUCCCAGCUUGGACGUUUCCAAGGGAUGGAGCGUCACUCGGUCGAUUUUGUUGGAGUUUCGCAAGGGCUCGGCGUCACUCGGUCGAUUUUGUUGGACUUUUGCAAGGGCUCGAAUGUCGAGCGAGAGUGUAUUGAGGGUAUUUCCGCGGAUACUUUGCCAACAUGGUAUCGUUGCCAUUGGACUACCUCGUUGGUCACGAUCAACAUCACCGACAUACCUCCACCAUCAAUACUAUUCACUUUGAACUUAGGCAACGCUGCCAAUACCUGAAAGGCCAAUCAUAUUAACAAGACAACCAUCAACCAUCUUUUGUACUCUCUACGUCGCAUUGUCACCCUACAAGGGUCACAUAGCCACCCCUAUUGAAGGACAAUGAGGGGACCCAUCCACCAAUGGGUGGCCACCAUGUGGCCCCUCAAACCUUCCAUAUAAAAACCUUGAACUCCCCCAAAAAGAGUAUAUAAAUUCUCUCUCUCUCUCUCUCUCUCUCUUUGACGACUAUUUGCCUUUAUUGGGUGAAUUGACCUCCUACCUCCGUCGCUAUCUCCUCCUUGUUGCUCCUUGGUAUCAACAACAUGGUUAAGGAAGAAAAUGGAUUUUCAAAAAGGGUAUGUUCGUGUGUUUGAUGGUAAUUACAAGACCAGGAAAUCUUUUGUUUUUAUUUUUGGUUACAAAGAGGGUAAGCCCUAAAACUUGUUCAACCUUGUUGCUUUUCGUAUAAACUGUAGCACUAUCCAUAUCUCCUUGCAUCACUAAUUCGAAUGUAGCUGUAGGUUCUGUGAAGUGCUGCAGCCUAGGUCAUUCAUUGAUCGCCAAAUUUGCCAGCAUAUUCGCAACAAUGGUUGCCUCUCAUUUGGCAUGUUGAGUUUUAGCCUCACAAGUUAUACUCUUUAGUUGAUUGAUGCUUUUUACAAGACAAAAGGGUGGAGUGGAGAUUUUUCUAUAGUUAACAUAUUGGUCAAAAACAAAUUAUCAAAUUCUAGGACUACCUUUCGAAACCCCAACUCCUUUACUAAGUAGAGCUCAUCAUAAGCUUCCCACAACUUAGCUUGAACAAUUAACUUUGAACCUACAAACCUGUAGAAUCCCAUUACCCAAUAGCCCAAGUUGUAUGACUCCUCCAGAUGUUGCUUGUCCAUCAGGUUGCUUCACUGCUCUAUCUGUAUUAAUUUUAACUCAACCAUCAUCAAGUUUCUCCUAUCCAAUCUUUUGCAUAGGGCGAUGCAGUAAAGAUCUUCACUUCAUAAUUUGAUAGAAUAUCUGCUUAGACCAAGAUAUGCUUCAAGCAGUAAUCUCAUCAGCUCUGUAGUUAUCAUUAUUUGAAUAUGAAAAUGAUACUAUUCUUUCAUAUAUUCCAAUAGAUUAAACCGAAAUCGGUGCUCCAGUCCACAAUUCCUAAAAAGCAAGUUGAAACAUCUCUUAAGUUUUUUGGUAACCAAUAGUGUAAAGAUAAGGAAAAAAACAUAACCAAGCCCUAUUAAGGCAUCACUUACUUCCAAAUGGUAUCUAAAGCCACACAAUUUCAAAUGACAUACAACCUUGUUUUUGAACCUUUACCACAAACCAAACAUUGCAUCAUCUAAAAAUCUUUUUUCUUUUGUAGCCUUCUUUCACAA